AACGAACGCUGGCGGCAUGCCUAACACAUGCAAGUCGAACGAACCCUUCGGGGUUAGCGGCGCACGGGUGCGUAACGCGUGGGAAUCUGCCCUUUGCUUCGGAAUAACAGUUAGAAAUGACUGCUAAUACCGGAUGAUGUCUUCGGACCAAAGAUUUAUCGGCAAGGGAUGAGCCCGCGUAGGAUUAGGUAGUUGGUGGGGUAAAGGCCUACCAAGCCGACGAUCCUUAGCUGGUCUGAGAGGAUGAUCAGCCACACUUGGACUGAGACACGGCCCAGACUCCUACGGGAGGCAGCAGUGGAGAAUAUUGGACAAUGGGCGCAAGCCUGAUCCAGCAAUGCCGCGUGAGUGAUGAAGGCCUUCGGGUCGUAAAGCUCUUUUACCAGGGAUGAUAAUGACAGUACCUGGAGAAUAAGCUCCGGCUAACUCCGUGCCAGCAGCCGCCGUAAAAC
rnacentral:rRNA from 1 species